rnacentral:rRNA from 1 species
UUCCGGUUGAUCCUGCCGGAGGGAACCCCUAUCGGGUUCAGACUAAGCCAUGCGAGUCGGCUGGGGGCACUUGCCCCUGGCGGCGCACGGCUCAGUAAUACGCGGUCAACCUACCCUGGGGACCGGGAUAACCUCGGGAAACUGAGGCUAAUCCCGGAUGGGUGUAGGGUGCUGAAAUGCCCCUACGCCGAAAGUAGGCGGGAAAUGGACCGCUGAGGCCCCAGGAUGGGACCGCGGCCUAUCAGGUAGUAGGUGGGGUAACGGCCCACCUAGCCUACGACGGGUACGGGCCCUGAGAGGGGGAGCCCGGAGAUGGGCACUGAGACAAGGGUCUAGGCCCUAAGGGGCGCAGCAGGCGCGAAGAUUCCGCAAUGCCCGAAAGGGCGACGGAGUGAACCCGAGUGCCACCCGCUGAGGGUGGCUGUUCCCCUGUGUAAAAAGCAGGGGGUAGGAAGGGGAGGGCAAGGCUGGUGGCAGCCGCCGCGGUAAAACCAGYUCCCCGAGGGGUUCCCACGCAUACUGGGCCUAAAGCGUCCGUAGCCGGCCCUGUAAGUCCGCAGUUAAAUCCGCCUGUAGACAGGCGGGCUGCUGCGGAUACUGCAGGGCUAGGGAGCGGGAGGAGCCGGGGGUAUUCCCGGGGGA